UACGAAGGGGGCUAGCGUUGUUCGGAAUUACUGGGCGUAAAGCGUAUGCAGGCGGAUCGUUAAGUCGGGGGUGAAAUCCCGAGGCUCAACCUCGGAACUGCCUUCGAUACUGGCGAUCUUGAGUCCGGGAGAGGUGAGUGGAACUCCGAGUGUAGAGGUGAAAUUCGUAGAUAUUCGGAAGAACACCAGUGGCGAAGGCGGCGCUCUGGGCCGGUACUGGACGCUGAGG
rnacentral:rRNA from 1 species